AGUCGAACCCGUGCCCACGGUCGUACGUGUGCAGGGUCAGGGAAUCCGGUGAGAGUCCGGAACUGACGCGCAGCGGUGAGGGUGACGGCGGGGCAGCAGCCACUGGACGACGGUCACGGCCGGGUCUGGGAAGGCGUCCCGCAGGGAUGAUCCCGAGUCCGAAGACCUGCUGGCGACCGAUCGUCCGC
rnacentral:ncRNA from 2 species